UGGGGAAUAUUGCACAAUGGGCGCAAGCCUGAUGCAGCCAUGCCGCGUGUGUGAAGAAGGCCUUCGGGUUGUAAAGCACUUUCAGCGGGGAGGAAGGGAGUAAAGUUAAUACCUUUGCUCAUUGACGUUACCCGCAGAAGAAGCACCGGCUAACUCCGUGCCAGCAGCCGCGGUAAUACGGAGGGUGCAAGCGUUAAUCGGAAUUACUGGGCGUAAAGCGCACGCAGGCGGUUUGUUAAGUCAGAUGUGAAAUCCUCGGGCUCAACCUGGGAACUGCAUCUGAUACUGGCAAGCUUGAGUCUCGUAGAGGGGGGUAGAAUUCCAGGUGUAGCGGUGAAAUGCGUAGAGAUCUGGAGGAAUACCGGUGGCGAAGGCGGCCCCCUGGACGAAGACUGACGCUCAGGUGCGAAAGCGUAGGGAGCAAACAGG
rnacentral:rRNA from 1 species